UACGUAGGGAGCAAGCGUUGUCCGGAAUCAUUGGGCGUAAAGCGUGCGCAGGCGGUUCGUCGUGUCCGAUGUGAAAGCCCCGGGCUCAACCUGGGAGUGGCAUUGGAAACUGGCGGACUCGAGUGUGGCAGAGGGGGGUGGAAUUCCGCGUGUAGCAGUGAAAUGCGUAGAGAUGCGGAGGAACACCGAUGGCGAAGGCAGCCCCCUGGGCUAACACUGACGCUCAGGCACGAAAGCGUGGGGAGCAAACAGG
rnacentral:rRNA from 1 species